rnacentral:rRNA from 1 species
UACGGAGGAUGCAAGCGUUAUCCGGAUUCAUUGGGUUUAAAGGGUGCGUAGGCGGAAUGAUAAGUUAGUGGUGAAAGCCCCCGGCUCAACCGGGGAACUGCCAUUAAUACUGUUAUUCUUGAGUAUAGUUGAAGUGGGCGGAAUGUAUCAUGUAGCGGUGAAAUGCUUAGAUAUGAUACAGAACACCGAUAGCGUAGGCAGCUUGCUAAACUAUAACUGACGCUCAGGCACGAAAGCGUGGGGAGCAAACAGG